rnacentral:rRNA from 1 species
AGCGUCCUACGGGAGGCAGCAGUGGGGGAUAUUGCACAAUGGGGGGAACCCUGAUGCAGCGACGCCGCGUGGGUGAAGAAGCGCCUCGGCGCGUAAAGCCCUGUCAGCAGGGAAGAAAAUGACGGUACCUGAAGAAGAAGCCCCGGCUAACUACGUGCCAGCAGCCGCGGUAAUACGUAGGGGGCAAGCGUUAUCCGGCUUUACUGGGGGUAAAGGGGGCGCAGACGGCGA